rnacentral:tRNA from 1 species
GCGAGGGUGGCGGAAUUGGUAGACGCGCUGGACUUAGGAUCCAGUGGCACGUCCAUGCGGGUUCGAGUCCCGCCCCUCGCACCA